UGGUGGAUCUAAGUGGGAACUAGGGGUUCCCUAAGGAGAAAUCCUGACCGCAAACCCCCUAUACGGCGGACAAUGCUGAAGUGAGGCGCUUAGGCUCCUCUCAACCUUUAAUGUAUCUACAAUGAAUACCUGUCCUCUAGGGCUGACGGUUAUGGGAUAGUCUCUUCGCAGGGAUUAUUUCCAUAUUUGCUGAGUGAAUCUGGCCAGGCUCGGAAGAGAGCAACCUAAACUCAGACGAUCAGCGCUUAGAGGGUAGCGGGUAUGAGACCGGUUGUUAAUGGUUCGUGGAAAACCGGACGUCGAUCUUCAGUGGUCCAUCG
rnacentral:SRP_RNA from 1 species